AACGAACGCUGGCGGCGUGCCUAACACAUGCAAGUCGAGCGCGAAAAGGGCAACCUGAGUAGAGCGGCGCACGGGUGCGUAACACGUGGGUAAUCUGCCUUAGAGUCGAGGAUAACCUUCCGAAAGGUUGGCUAAUACUCGGUAAGCUUACGGUGUCUUCGGACGCUGUGGGAAAAGUAGGCCUCUGUUUACAAGCUUACGCUCUGAGAUGAGCCCGCGGCCCAUCAGCUAGUUGGCGGUGUAACGGACCACCAAGGCAACGACGGGUAGCUGGUCUGAGAGGACGAUCAGCCACACUGGAACUGAGACACGGUCCAGACUCCUACGGGAGGAAGCAGUGGGGAAUUUUCCACAAUGGGCGAAAGCCUGAUGGAGCAACGCCGCGUGUGUGAUGAAGGUUUUCGGAUCGUAAAGCACUUUCGACUGGGACGAAAAACCUUUGGCUAACAUCCAGGGGCCUGACGGUACCAGGAGAAGAAGCACCGGCUAACUCUGUGCCAGCCGCCGCAGUAACAC
rnacentral:rRNA from 1 species